rnacentral:rRNA from 1 species
UAAUGCCUUUACUGGUGUUGGUUUCAAGAACUUGUCUAAACCUUAUCAUUUAGAGGAAGGUGAAGUCGUAACAAGGUUUCCGUAGGUGAACCUGCGGAAGGAUCAUUACCACACAAUAAUCCAAACCGCGCUUACAUUAAACCCAUAGGCUCUGGCCCUGCUAACUAGUGGUAAACCCCUCUGUAACCCAUCGAGUCUCUCUGGUGUUUACGACCUUAUAAGAUCUCAUUAUGUGCCACUGCCGUGAUGAUGCAACCUGGAGGCCAACGAGUACGAUCCACCAAUUUAAAUUCAAUCGACAGCUUGACGAGAGUCAAGUUUAAAAGUAUAACAUUCCAAUACAACUUUCAGCAAUGGAUGUCUUGGUUCCCAACACAAUGAAGAACACAGCGAAAUGUGAUACGUAAUACGAAUUGCAAGACUUUGUGAAUCAUUGAAUUUUUGAACGCAUAUUGCGCUGCCAGAUUCUUUCUGGGAGCAUACACGACAGAGUAUCAUCAAACCCCAAUCUAUAACAUUAUUUGUUAUGGGCAAGUGAAGUUGGCUUUAAACAAAGCACUCCUUCUAAGUUAUUUAGUGCAGAGGCAUUUUCACAUUGUAGGAAACUCAGUGUAUUUGUUUCAACGUGCUAUUGGUCAAAAUUCACUUUUUGACUGUCUUCUUAACUGAUCUCUGACUGUGUAGGACUACCCGCUGAAUUU